rnacentral:rRNA from 1 species
GAUCCUAGCUCAGGAUGAACGCUAGCUACAGGCUUAACACAUGCAAGUCGGGGGGAAACGAUAUUGGAAGCUUGCUUCCGAUAGGCGUCGACCGGCGCACGGGUGAGUAACGCGUAUCCAACCUGCCCAUCACUUGGGAAUAACCUUGCGAAAGUAAGACUAAUGCCCAAUGACAUUUAUAGAAGGCAUCUGAAAUGAAUUAAAGAUUUAUCGGUGAUGGAUGGGGAUGCGU